UCGUAACAAGGUCUCCGUUGGUGAACCAGCGGAGGGAUCAUUACCGAGUUUACAACUCCCAAACCCCUGUGAACAUACCAAUUGUUGCCUCGGCGGAUCAGCCCGCUCCCGGUAAAACGGGACGGCCCGCCAGAGGACCCCUAAACUCUGUUUCUAUAUGUAACUUCUGAGUAAAACCAUAAAUAAAUCAAAACUUUCAACAACGGAUCUCUUGGUUCUGGCAUCGAUGAAGAACGCAGCAAAAUGCGAUAAGUAAUGUGAAUUGCAGAAUUCAGUGAAUCAUCGAAUCUUUGAACGCACAUUGCGCCCGCCAGUAUUCUGGCGGGCAUGCCUGUUCGAGCGUCAUUUCAACCCUCAAGCCCCCGGGUUUGGUGUUGGGGAUCGGCGAGCCCUUGCGGCAAGCCGGCCCCGAAAUCUAGUGGCGGUCUCGCUGCAGCUUCCAUUGCGUAGUAGUAAAACCCUCGCAACUGGUACGCGGCGCGGCCAAGCCGUUAAACCCCCAACUUCUGAAUGUUGACCUCGGAUCAGGUAGGAAUACCCGCUGAACCUAAGCAU
rnacentral:misc_RNA from 1 species